UACGUAGGGGGCAAGCGUUGUCCGGAAUCAUUGGGCGUAAAGGGCGCGUAGGCGGCAAGGCAAGUCGGGUGUGAAAGCUUGGGGCUUAACCCCGAAAGGGCACUCGAAACUGCGUUGCUAGAGGGCCGGAGAGGAGAUCGGAAUUCACGGUGUAGCAGUGAAAUGCGUAGAGCUCGUGAGGAAGACCGGUGGCGAAGGCGGAUCUCUGGACGGCCCCUGACGCUGAGGCGCGAAGGCUAGGGGAGCAAACGGG
rnacentral:rRNA from 1 species